ensembl:lncRNA
UUUUUUUUUUUUUUUUUUUUUUUUUUUGGUCUUCUGUCUUUUCAGGGCCACACCCGAGGCAUAUGGAGGUUCCUAGGCUAAGGGUCGAAUCGGAGCUACAGGUGCCGGCCUACACCACAGCCACAGCAACGCCAGGUCAGAGCCACGUCUGCAACGUACACCACAGCUCACGACAAGGCCGGAUCCUUAACCCACUGAGUGAGGCCAGGAAUGGAACCCGAAACCUCAUGGUUCCUAGACAGAUCAUGAGACUGGCUAUUCUUUUUUUUUUUUUUUGGCCAUUUCUAGGGCCGCUUCCGCGGCAUCUGGAGGUUCCCAGGCUAGGGGCCUAAUCAGAGCUGUAGCCGCCAGCCUACAACAGGGCCACAGCAACACGGGAUCCGAGCCGCGUCUGCUACCUACACCACAGCUCGUGGCAACACUGGAUCCUUAACCCACUGAGCAUGGCCAGGGAUCGAACCCGCAACCUCAUGGUUCCUAGUCGGAUUCGUUAACCGCUGCGCCACGACGGGAACUCCAAGAUCGGCUAUUCUUAAAAUAAUGGAAAUAGCUAUGUAGUAAGCUAAAGUUAAAUACAUUAGGAGCAAACCACACCUCUAGCAAAUAAGGAAGCGACAAAGUCUAAAAAUCCUUUGAAGUCACAAUCACCUUGGGACGUUAGUUUCAUACCCCUAAAGGAUGGCUUUUCUUCUCUAUAACAAUCCAAAAAGGCAGGAUUUUUUACACAGUGUACUGCACAUCCUUUAAUUAGCCAGGCAUUUUACUAAUUGAAAAAACAGUUAAUUCCUCCAAGUGUGCUGGUUUGGGGUUUUUUUGUUGUUGUUGUUGUUUUAUUUUUAUUUUUACUUCCUGCUUUACAGGAUGUAAAACCACUUUUAAAAACAUGCUACAUACUAGCAAGGCUUAACUGCUUAAGAGUAAUAAUAAGAUUCUUCACUGCUUUUCUCCUCUAUUUCAGCUAAGUUUACACAGUACAGACAUACAAAGAUCUCAAGCCUACAUUACCACCCAGAAUUAAAUGGAAGUCUUUUUUAUUUUGCUGGAUAUUAAUGCAGUUUUUUUUUUUAAGUAAAUUUUAAAAAAAGAAAAAAAAGGAGUUCCUGCUGUGGCACAACAGGAUGGGUGGCAUCUCUGGAGCCUGGGACUCAAGGUGGACCCACAGCGGGGCUAAGGGUCCCAAAGUGCCGCUGCUGAAACUGAAGCUCAGAUCUGACCCCAGGCCUGGGAACUUCCCUAUGCCGCAGGGCAGGGCAAGGCAGCCAAAAAAGAAAAACAGCGACACACCAUUCCUAACUUUAGACAAAACCUUAUGAACCAAGCACCUUCCUGCAGUGUUCUCAUUACUUAAAAAUGUUCAUUAUUCCAGGACAUCUGCGCUGAGUGUAGAGACUGCCACUGGCAAGGGGGUGAAGGAAAGGAGGUGAGCUACUAAUAUGCUGAGAAGUCUACCGGCCAUAGUUUAGAUGAAAAAUAAUCUCUGGCGCAAGCCAGCAGCUGCAUCUCCCUCCAAUUCGACCCCUAGCCUGGGAACCUCCAUAUGCCGCAGGAGUGGCCUCAAAAAACAAAAAAAGAAAAAGAAUCUCUCAUAUCACAAAGUAACUAAGCAUUCACAAGUUAAAUUUCAACCUUGGCUAUUCUUUCUUCUUCUUUUUUUUUUUUUNCUUUUCAGGGCCGCACCCACGGCAUAUGGAAGUUCCCAGGCUGGGGAUCCAAUCGGAGCUACAGCUGCCAGCCACAGCCACUGCGCGAGGCCAGAGAUCAAACCUACGUCCUCAUGGAUCCCAGCCGGAUUCUUUUCUUUCACUGCACCAGGACGGGAACUCCCCCAGGCAUUCUUAAAGAUUACAUUUUUUACAGUUAAACUUCUAACUGGAAAGGGGGGAUUUUUAUUAAUUUUACUUUAUCUUUUUUGUUUGUUUUUCAGCUGCCCGGUUGGCAUGUGAAAUUUCCCGGGCCAGGGAUCAAACACACCACAGCAGCAAUCGGAACCACUGCAAAGACAAGACCAGCUCCUUAACCCACUGCACCACACCAGGAACUUUAUUUAAUUUAUUUAUUUUAAAUAAAUAAAUUUAUUUAAUUUAAUUUUAUUUAAUCUUGACCAAAAAAAAAAUUUUUUUUGAGAUAAUCAAAAAUGUUUUAAGUUGAGAAAAGGACAACCUUCUUUUUUUUUUUUUUUUUUUUUU